rnacentral:snRNA from 1 species
GGAUGUAAGGGCCAUGUGGCUGUGACAUCUGUCACCCCAUUGAUUGCCAGGGUUGAUUCAGCUGAUCUGGGCUGGCUGGGCAGGUGUCCAUGUCAUCCCUUUCCACUUCAUGUGCAUCCCUCCCGAAGUUGUGCUCUAGGUGGAAGAAAGAGAUCAAUGGAAGAGGAGCAUUCUUCAGUAAAGGCUGUAUGAGUAGCUGUGCUCCGCUCAUGGAACUUCCAGACGAGCUCGCAAGGUUCAUUAUAGGAGAAUAUAGGGGACUAAAGCUUCCAAGACUCCAGGCACAUCCAAAUGAUGUGUCGUGUAUGGCAGUAUGAUUUUCUUU